UACGGAGGGUGCAAGCGUUAUCCGGAUUCACUGGGUUUAAAGGGUGCGUAGGUGGGUAGGUAAGUCAGUGGUGAAAUUCCCGAGCUUAACUUGGGAACUGCCAUUGAUACUAUCAGUCUUGAAUAUUGUGGAGGUCAGCGGAAUAUGUCAUGUAGCGGUGAAAUGCUUAGAUAUGACAUAGAACACCAAUUGCGAAGGCAGCUGGCUACGCAUAUAUUGACACUGAGGCACGAAAGCGUGGGGAUCAAACAGG
rnacentral:rRNA from 1 species